rnacentral:rRNA from 1 species
UGCGUAGGCGGACUAUUAAGUCAGUGGUGAAAUCCUGCAGCUUAACUGCAGAACUGCCAUUGAUACUGAUAGCCUUGAGUUUGAUUAAGGUAGGCGGAAUGUGUAAUGUAGCGGUGAAAUGCUUAGAUAUUACACAGAACACCAAUUGCGUAGGCAGCUUACUGAGCCGACACUGACGCUGAGGCACGAAAGCGUGGGGAUCGAACAG